CGAUAUUGAUGUUCGAGACUUCAACGUCCCGCAUUGCGGUCCCGCAGACAAAUCGCUGAAGCGGCUGUGUGUUUUUCAGUACAAUUUGUGAAUCGCGACUUACCGUGUGAAAGGCCCUAGUCGAUUUCCCCCCCCCUCUAUAAUGUUAUUUUGUCCGGCGCAAUUUGAGAUCGCCUUUAUUGUCGGUCUAAAUAGCGCGACCGUAUGUAUACUGUGCGUUUUCGACAGUUAUAAUUCGUUUGUAUUAGAAAACCUACAGAAAAUCGACCCCAAAACCAAAGAUUCAUAAAAAAAGGUUUGUCCGGAUCUGUCGCACGCAGAGGAACAGAAAUGCACGAUGGACGGGUAUACGCACCUCGCAGUCGGAUUCCCGAUAUUUAAUCCUUAAAGGGA